GGGACACGUGGUAUCCUGUCUGAAUAUGGGGGGACCAUCCUCCAAGGCUAAAUACUCCUGACUGACCGAUAGUGAACCAGUACCGUGAGGGAAAGGCGAAAAGAACCCCGGCGAGGGGAGUGAAAAAGAACCUGAAACCGUGUACGUACAAGCAGUGGGAGCCUCUUAAUGGGGUGACUGCGUACCUUUUGUAUAAUGGGUCAGCGACUUAUAUUCUGUAGCAAGGUUAACCGAAUAGGGGAGCCGAAGGGAAACCGAGUCUUAACUGGGCGUUAAGUUGCAGGGUAUAGACCCGAAACCCGGUGAUCUAGCCAUGGGCAGGUUGAAGGUUGGGUAACACUAACUGGAGGACCGAACCGACUAAUGUUGAAAAAUUAGCGGAUGACUUGUGGCUGGGGGUGAAAGGCCAAUCAAACCGGGAGAUAGCUGGUUCUCCCCGAAAGCUAUUUAGGUAGCGCCUCGUGAAUUCAUCUCCGGGGGUAGAGCACUGUUUCGGCAAGGGGGUCAUCCCGACUUACCAACCCGAUGCAAACUGCGAAUACCGGAGAAUGUUAUCACGGGAGACACACGGCGGGUGCUAACGUCCGUCGUGAAGAGGGAAACAACCCAGACCGCCAGCUAAGGUCCCAAAGUCAUGGUUAAGUGGGAAACGAUGUGGGAAGGCCCAGACAGCCAGGAUGUUGGCUUAGAAGCAGCCAUCAUUUAAAGAAAGCGUAAUAGCUCACUGGUCGAGUCGGCCUGCGCGGAAGAUGUAACGGGGCUAAACCAUGCACCGAAGCUGCGGCAGCGACACUAUGUGUUGUUGGGUAGGGGAGCGUUCUGUAAGCCUGUGAAGGUGUACUGUGAGGUAUGCUGGAGGUAUCAGAAGUGCGAAUGCUGACAUAAGUAACGAUAAAGCGGGUGAAAAGCCCGCUCGCCGGAAGACCAAGGGUUCCUGUCCAACGUUAAUCGGGGCAGGGUGAGUCGACCCCUAAGGCGAGGCCGAAAGGCGUAGUCGAUGGGAAACAGGUUAAUAUUCCUGUACUUGGUGUUACUGCGAAGGGGGGACGGAGAAGGCUAUGUUGGCCGGGCGACGGUUGUCCCGGUUUAAGCGUGUAGGCUGGUUUUCCAGGCAAAUCCGGAAAACCAAGGCUGAGGCGUGAUGACGAGGCACUACGGUGCUGAAGC
rnacentral:rRNA from 1 species